GUCGGCCAGCAUGCGGUUGCAGAGCGCCGCGUACGGGUUGAGCAGCACCAGCUGGCGCCGCGCGAACGGGCUGCCCAGCCGCGCCGCCCGCUCGAAGUCCCCGCGGGCGUCGUCGUCCCGGCCCUGCAGCCGCGCCACGAGCCCGCGCUGCACGAAGCCCUGGCGGGCGGCGCGGCCCCGGCCGCCGCUCAGCACCAGCGCGCGCUCCAGGUCCUCCAGGGCACCUGCGGGACGGACGGACGGGCGGGGUCAGGGCCUCGGCCGCCCGCGAUCCGGCCCCGAGUGGAGGCUCUGGGCCUCGGCCGUCUACAUCCCGCUUGCACUUGACCCUAGAAGUCGGCAUUGUUAUUCCCGUUACGCAGAUGAAGACUGGAAGAGUUGGCAAGCCUCGGCCUGAGCUGCGCAGCCAGUUAAGAGGCAGAGCUGGGACUAAAAGUCCAGGUCUCGCCUUAUCCGUGUUGUUUUCUCCCAUCUGAUACAUCAAAACACGGACGGAUGGUCACUAUGUUAUGAAUCUGGCCCCAUUGCCCGGCCCGUAGCAGGCGAUUUAUUCAACACAUAAUGUUAUUAACCAUCUAUCAUGUGCCAGGGCAUCAUGCAGGAUCUUAGUUCCGCGAGCAGGAAUUGAACCCGUGCCCUGCAGUGGAAGCGCGGAUUCUUAACACCUGGACCGCCAGGGAAGUCCCUCUCUAAUUUUUAAAAACAUUUCUCUCCUCUUUUCCAUUGUGUGCCUUAAAACUGCUUCUUUCACCUGUGUUCUCUACUGACUGCCUCUACUCCUUCUUUACUUCCAUGGUCUUCAUUAUUUUGUAUCUGGUUUUCUUAGAAGGAGGUGUUGGAGCCGAGCUGACCUGCAGCAUUUUUGUUUUUAUCAUCCUCAUAAAUACUUGGCUUAUUAGGCAUCAGAGCCACCAUCUGGUAUCCACUGUAGGGUCUACCCAGCUGCAUUUCUCCUGGACUCUGCUUCAGUUCACUCAAGUUCUCUAGGCUAUAGCAUCUGUCAGGGCAGGGCACUGGGGGAGCGCCAGCAGCAUCCUACAGCAAGGCUGACCUUCCCUGUCCUCUCUCUGUGUGUUUUGGUCCCCGGAACCCAGCAGGGGCUCUGGUCCCCACCCAAACUGCUCGGCUGAGAAGCUCUCUAAUCACAGCAUUCCUUGGUUUCCCUCAGAGGAGCUGGUCAGGAGGAACUGAAGGCCUCCUCCAGGCAGCCUCCCCUCUGAUGCUCUCUGGGGCUUUGGUCUGCAGGCUGUCCCCAGUGGCCUUUAUGGCCUUGCUUGCCAAAGCCAGGUGGCAGAUAAGCCUGGGGAAGGGGCCCUCGGAGUCCCCUGAUAUUCCCAGAAUGGAGUCCAAACACCCCAGCCUGGCAUUCUUGGCCCCAGGAACACCUCCACUACCACGAGUCUUGAUAGUCUAGUAGUUCCCUACUAGGCUUCUGUGGUUUACCCUUUAGUUGAAACCCUUAAGUGAUUCCUGGUGUUUUGAAGACAAAGUCUGAUCUCGGCCUGAUGUUCCCAGUUGUUCACUCUCUGGCCCCUGUUUACCUCUCUAGGCUCUGGAGAGGCUCCAUCCUUCCAGCACUUCCUUUUCCAGCCAGAUUCCCCAUACCUGUCCAUGACUUCAGGUCCUCCACAGGCUGUGCCUUCUCCCACUCCUUGCCCUCCAUCCAGCUAAACCCUACUCAUCCUUCAAAACUCACCCCUCAGGAACAGAUCCCAAUCUGAACCCUCUCAGCUUGUUAUGCUGCUAUUGUAUUUGUCUGUUCUACUGUCUAGGCUGUGAGCUUCUUGAGAAGCAGUGUCAUGUGGGGAUGAACAGCACAGGCGCUGGAGCCCUGCCACCUGCACCAAAUCCCAGCUCUGCCACUUCUCAGCUGCGUCCAACCCAACAGUGUCUCCGAACGGGGUGUCGGGGUUGAAGAUGGCCUGCAACACUGCCUGAUCAUUUGGAGUCCCCAUGUUGCUCAGCUCCAAAAUGCAGAAAG